rnacentral:rRNA from 1 species
UACGUAGGGGGCAAGCGUUGUCCGGAAUCAUUGGGCGUAAAGCGCGUGUAGGCGGUCCGGUAAGUCCGCUGUGAAAGUCGGGGGCUCAACCCUCGAAAGCCGGUUGAUACUGUCGGGCUAGAGUCCGGAAGAGGCGAGUGGAAUUCCCGGUGUAGCGGUGAAAUGCGCAGAUAUCAGGAGGAACACCAAUGGCGAAGGCAGCUCGCUGGAACGGUACUGACGCUGAGGCGCGAAAGCGUGGGGAGCGAACAGG